rnacentral:rRNA from 1 species
UAGGGAAUAUUGCUCAAUGGGGGAAACCCUGAAGCAGCAACGCCGCGUGGAGGAUGAAGGUUUUCGGAUUGUAAACUCCUUUUGUUAGAGAAGAUAAUGACGGUAUCUAAACGAAUAAGCACCGGCUAACUCCGUGCC